CGUGAUCGUGACACGUCUC
rnacentral:snRNA from 1 species